rnacentral:lncRNA from 1 species
AUUGAAAGACUGGUGGCUUGGACUUUUGAAGAAGAACAAGUAGACGACGAUACUUGGGUCUGAAUUCUGAACAUUAAGACUUUCAAAUUUAAGCAAACAAAUGCAGCCCAAAAUCUCUUUACCCUACAAUACCAAAAGAGUGUCCCUUUCUUUACUCACAGAAAGUUGCGUCUGGUAUUGUAGGAGGUGGUGCCGUGCUCCAUCUUUUUGACCUUUCUUCUGCUCUCUUUACGCCCUUCAAGUUGGAAACUUUGAUUUUGCAUUCCUGUGCUUCCCUUCUCCUUUGAACUUAAUAAAACAAUUAGCAUUCCUUAAUAAAGUCCUGCCAAACUACUGUUCAACAGGAUCAUAUCUUAAUUUGAAAUUGUAAUUGGAUUAAAAAUUUAAAACUCAAAAUUAUUCAAUCAUUAUUACUCACUACUGCUGCUAAUCAACUUCUUAUUUUUU